rnacentral:SRP_RNA from 1 species
CGGUAUGCAUCGGACGACGACACAGUCCGAACCUGGUCAGGUCCUGACGGAAGCAGCCAUAAGGACGCUCGGUCGUGUGUUCGUUUGCGUACCGGGA